rnacentral:rRNA from 1 species
AACGAACGCUGGCGGCAGGCCUAACACAUGCAAGUCGAGCGAACCCUUCGGGGUUAGCGGCGGACGGGUUAGUAACGCGUGGGAAUAUACCCUUUGGUACGGAAUAGCCUCGGGAAACUGAGAGUAAUACCGUAUGUGCCCUUCGGGGAAAGGAUUAUCGCCAAAGGAUUAGCCCGCGUUGGAUUAGAUAGUUGGUGGGGUAAUGGCCUACCAAGUCUACGAUCCAUAGCUGGUUUGAGAGGAUGAUCAGCAACACUGGGACUGAGACACGGCCCAGACUCCUACGGGAGGCAGCAGUGGGGAAUCUUAGACAAUGGGCGCAAGCCUGAUCUAGCCAUGCCGCGUGGACGAUGAAGGCCUUAGGGUUGUAAAGUCCUUUCAGAUGGGAAGAUAAUGGCGGUACCAUCAGAAGAAGCCCCGGCUAACUCCGUG